rnacentral:lncRNA from 1 species
UUGAACAUGUUGAAAAUAUACCAAAUUUAAUUUUAAACAUUCUAAAGUAACGUACGAGUGUACGACUCUUUAGCACACAUACGUAGACUAAAAUUAGAGAACCUCUCAAAGAAGCAUCUUCAUGACACGGCAGCGAUCACGUGGAGAAAGG